AACAACUUACUUUUAUUUAGCAAUAACACUGAUCAAAAGUGACAGCAGAGUCAUUUAUAAUGUUACAAAGAAAAUCUGUGUGAAAUAAAUCCUCCUUAUUUGAACUUUCUGAAGAUACCUGAAAAAAAAAAUGUUAAAAUAUAUUGUUUUCCACAAAAUUAUUAAGCAGCACAUCUGUUGUCAACAUUAAUAAAAAGAAGAAAUGUUUCUUGAACAGCAAAUCAACAUAUUAGAAUUGUUUCUAAAGGAUCAUGUGACACUGAAGACUGGAGAAAUGGCUGCUGAACAUUCUUCUGUGCUAUCACAGGAAUAAAAAAAAAAAAUAAAUAAAUAAAUAAAUAAAACAUUAAAAUAGCAAACUUUUAACAUUCAGGGAACCCCUUCAUUGCCCAAAAAGGUUAUUUAGAAUUUAAAACUAUUCACUAAAUAGUUUUGGGGAACCAAAAAUGAUUCCUCUAUGGCAAUGCACAAAACACCCUUUUGAAACCUUUAUUUUUAAGUGUAUAUGUAGAUGCCAAGGUACUUAAGAUAUAAGAUCAAGUAAUUUAAAACACUCUAAACAUGUAUUCAAAUUAUUUUUGAAUAAAUUUAAAGAUAGACAAAAGCAGUUUGUCACUGAUUUACAAAUACUUCUUAAUUUAUACAGUAUUUAAAAUAAAAGAUUCACCUACUGUAAAUAACUUUCUACAAAGGGUAAGAUGAGGACAACAGAUGGUGGUGAUUUCUUGAAAACAGGUCUUAACAAUAACUAAUGGCUACCUGUGGACAGAACGGUUUAAAAAGGGCUGCACACUCUCUCUGCAUGUUUGGACGGGGUCUUGAGGAAGAGAACACACACAUAUGGUGUUGACCAUCACACUCUGCAGUGACAGACGGAGCAGACUCAUUACCGAACAAAACGACAGGCAGCGUGUCGGAGGGGAGGUUUCAGACAGAGGAGCAUGACUGCUGUACGGAGAGAAUACGCAGGAAAACAGAGAACGAUGGACAUCCCACCUGACCAGACUGGCUCUCCUGUACGGUUGACUCCACUGUGGUGGUCCUCUGCUCCGCCCUGGCGGGCUUCUGUCUCCUCUGCUCAGCUGUGUUGGUUCUCUGCUCCGCCCUGGUCAACUUCUGUCCCGUCUGCUCCGCCCUGGUGGGCUUCUAUCCCAUCUGCUCAGCGGUGGGGGCUCCUUGCUCCGCCCUGGUGGGCUCCAGUUCCGCCUGCUCCGCCCCGGUGGACUCCUGUUCCGUCGGCUCUGCCUUGGUCGCCAGCCAUUCCACUUCCACAUGGACCAGGCCCUCCAUCCCUCCCCCUGUUCCGCCUCCGCUCCACCGCCCUCCAAGACUGUAUAGAGCGUCUGGAAGCCGCUCCUUGUGGGGGGGCUAUGUCACGAUCUCUAGGUGGAGUGCCUGUGAGCUUCAGUAGAGGGCACUCCACUCAGGACUCAUUCAGAACUCCAUUUCCCAUCCUGCCUCACUCCUGGGACUGA
ensembl:lncRNA